AACUGAUUCUCCUCCUCCGAGCUGCCUGAAGAAAAAUCUCAGAAUGGAAAAACAGUCACAAUAGAGUUAAGUUUGAAACUACUGUAUUAGAAGUUGAUCUGUUGCAAUGUCCAGGAUGUGCAAUGGCAGAAAGGGAAAUAAGUGAGUAAAACCACAAGAACCACCUCCCCCCUAGAAACAAGGUUAAAAACAUGUUUUUUGGAGAACUUUAAUUUUCAGCUAGGUGCUGGCCGAUGUGGUAUUAGCAGUCUCAUCUGAGAUUAUAAAACCAUUCAAUUAGCAAUCCCCGAAAAAAAGUGAUGAGGAGUGGCAUAUUGUUUAUGAUAUCUUACCUUGUUAACAUUACAGCUAGCAGUGGGCCAGAGCUCUUGGUUUUGCAAUACCCCGAAGAUGCCAGUGUGCUCCUUAACUCCACUGUGUGGAUGCUUUGUGUCUUUGAAUACCCCAAGGAGGAGAAUGAGGAGCCAGUUGUGUACUGGAGGAAGGGCCCCAGCUGUGACAACCAGCAGAGUCUUCGGUCAAGUUCAGGAGCAGGCAGGCCACACAUACACAUUAUCAAGGACAUAUUCAGGGGAUUCUCUAUCUUAAAACUGAGCAGUGUUGACAAGAAUGACAGCAGCUCAUAUUUCUGUGAUGUGAUACUAACCCAGAAAACCCACGGCAAAUGUGGAAAAGGAACCAAGCUGACAGUGCACGAUUUCAUAUGCAAAGACUGUAUAAGAUCAGAACCGACUUGGUGGUGUUGGUUCCUUCUUCUUGGAUACACUCUCUUUGUCACCACAGUUAUCAUAGCUUUUGGUAUUCAUCAGUGCUGUAAAAAGUGCAAGAAUGAUUCAAGAAAUACAGAUAGCAGCACUACCCUGCCAAGUGAAUGGAUUUAUGAUAAGCCAUCCAAACCCGUUAAUAAUGGGUCUAACCAAGAAUAUGAAGAUAUGUCACUAAUAAGAACUUUCAGUCACAUUGAAAGGAAAGUGAUAUGAAAAACAAGCCUCACAGUUGCAACCAUAAUGCUAUCAGCAUGUGAAUGUGUACUACUUCAGGAUACAGAAGAAACAUACACACAAGUCAUUUUGUGAACUUGGAAUCCUCUUUGUUCAAGAUUUUUUCAUCUAUUUAUGUAUAUACUUCAAAACUAAUGAAAUCAACACUCAAUACAACUACAAAUGCAAUGAUCUUUAGUAUGCACAGCUACCACCAAAGCACUGUUAAAGCUAAAGGUAUUAAUACUUAAAUGCCAAGAAAGCUGAUCAUAUAUGCUGAUUUAUUUUAUUUUAUUUUAUUUUAUUUUCCAUUUCAAACUCAAGGACACAUUUAGAAUUUUGUUUUUAUCUGGGUUAAGACAACUCUUUGCUUCAUCAAAGCAAUGGCAAAUUCUAUACUACAGUAUCUGUCAGCAGCUGAGAUAAAUUUUAAAAAAAGAUUUUGUCAUAGAGGAAUUUCUCACAUGCUUCUGAUGUACUGCCUGACCUUAUUUCCAGCUCCUUAUCCUGCCCUCAUAUUUCUACAUCCCUGCAACUUCUUCCACUUUUGGCCAUGUAGCCAGCUACGCCACUGAUACAGUGCACAUUUGUACAUGCCUCUCUCAAAAGAAUGAAAAUACUGAAUGUGUUUUUAAUAGUUAUAAUUUCUGAAGAAAACAUAAUAAUUACUGAUGAAGAGCAUGUCUUUGCUGUUCUUAUUAUGGCAUAUCUAGCAUUAUAAUGUAAGCUAUUUGGAUUAAAAAUAUUUUUAUAAGUUGUUUUAAAGUACUUAGAAUGCUUUUAGAGUCCAUGUAAAUAGCAACAAUAGAAUUAAACUUCAUAGAAAGAGCUUACCAUAAUUUGCAUAACAAUUAAGCACUCAGAGGAAGUGGUGCCUUGGAAUAGUUAUGUACGUGUGACUUGAGAGAAGUUAAUACUUUGACAAACUCUAUUUGAGUUACUGAUUAUUUUUUUUUUCCCACAAACGAUUAAGUAUUACAAGCUGAGUACUAUGUAUCAAGUUUUCUUAACACUGAAAAUAUACAUUAUGAAACAAAAAUGUUCAUAGGCUAAAAUGCCAGAGAUUACAGCAUAAUACAUUAACUGUGAAGUAGUUAUAAAACAAAGAGUAAGCCCUUUUUUACUCAACGGGGCAAUAAGUCAUAGUUAAUAUUCAAGGCUGUCCAUUAUGAUGUGGAUUCACGUUGCUAGUGAAGUUCAGCUAAAGCUUUAUCAGUACUGUAUUUUUCUAAAAUAUUUGCCUGUUCUGUAAGUAAAAUACUAAUUAAAACAAUUAUAAAAACUGAUACUUGACUCCUUUUGUUAAAAGUACUUCUGAUUCACUCAGAGACAGUUAAGUAUGACUUCUAGAAGGACAGACAAACAAUGCUUGUGCAUCUGGAGAGGCAGAGGGCAGUCAUGAUGUCAUGAAAAAAAUCACGUUUUCUUAAAUUUGAAUAGCAGGAACUAAACAAUGGUCUUCCUCACUCCUCUACUAAAACUUUAGAGAAGAUUCUUUACGAGGUGUGAAAUCCAUCUUAAGGGAAGAUGCAGCCACAUGAAAGGAGAGUCAGUGAAUCAAAGUUACCUUCAAGAAGCACAAAGACGUUAAUGCAUUCAAUGGAACUUUCCAUCUCUUACAUUUUGGCAAAAAACAGCAAUAACUCAUUCUUAAUCUAGCAGACAUAACUACAGGGCAAUUGCCUUUUAAGAUAUUUUAUUCAGAUAACGCAUAUACAAGAAUGGGGCUGUUUUCUUUCCGCUUUACAGAGCUGCUUCCAUUUCAGAUCAAUGGUCUUUCAAAAGCGUCAAGUUUUUACACUUUUUCAGAUGCUUCUUAGAAACACCAGAACUAUUUUCUAUGUAAUGUUUCCAAAUUAGUUGGACAUAAUGUUCAAGUCAGAAAGGUUAAAUAUUCCAAAGUUUUGAGCGUCUGAAAACAAUUAAUG
ensembl:lncRNA